GCGUUUGGACGUUGUGUGUUAUGUUUUUUGUUUGUGCAUUUGAAUUUCAUUUUGUGUGUGUGAUUUGUUGUGUAUGUUCGAGUGUGGUUUUUCGUGGAUUUAUGUUCUGUUUUCUGUUUCUUUAAGUUGUGUGUUUUGGACGUUGUGUGCUAUGUUUUUUAUUUGUGUGAAUUUCGUUUUGUGUUUUGGUGACUUUAAAAUAGUUAUGUGUGUUUGAUUUUUUUUUUGUGCGUUUAUGUGUAGGUUUUCGUGGAUUUAUGCUCUGUUUUUGAUACAGUGCAAGAGACAUGAUAAGUGGGAGGGAGAGAGAGCGAGCUACUUAACCAUACCUUUGUGGCUACUGAACUGUCUUCAAAGCUUCCUUACAGCUAAACAAUCCUUCAUCCUGAGAAACUUUGUCAAAAAUUCCAUUAGAAAGCUCUUGAAACCAA